UCAAGGAUCAAAGUGGGAAAAAAGUUUACCACAACAGAAGUAGCAAUCAGUUCAUCCAUCAAAAUAUGAUAAUCCAAUCAUUUUGUAAGCUGCAGCAUAAAAAUGGACAACAUCUAUAGAGACAAGCAAUCAAAGUUAUGCACACAAUACAUAGAAUGUUAAGUAAACUUACAUUAAUAAUCAACAAUAACAAUUUACAUAAACUGUAAAUGUUGCAUGCUACUGCCACUGCCUAGACAAUCUGUCUAAAAGAAUCUGAGAAAGCAAAUAUAGUAGUUAAUCAAGAUAUCAAUAAAAAUAUCACAUCAUAAAUUAAAGAUGUAAAUGGCUGAUAUUUUACAAAUCAUACCCGAUGAACAAAUGAUAACUAAUUUCGAUGUACCAAUAAUAAAAUGAUAUAAUAAAAAAUAUAUAGCAUUCGGUACAGUUUUAUCCAUUUUAUUGGAGUUGAACAUAUAAUUGUAAUAUUAUGACUAGAUAGGCAAGCAAUAAUUUACCCGAGUGGCUUUCUACUUCAGCAACAUACAUUUGCAUCUUCUAAGUGUCCCUUAUAUUUGGCAUAUGUAAGUCACCUCAACUCUUGAGUCCUAAAAGUCAGUA
rnacentral:lncRNA from 1 species